GAGAUUUCAACUAUCCCAAGACAAAAGUUCUGCAGAAAUGACCUCUUGUCAAGUCACUUUUGAAGUAAAAGGAUCAUCAGCACCAGGAGAGGUUUUUGCAAUAUGUGGGAGCUGCAGUGCUUUGGGAAAUUGGAAUCCCCAAGUGGCAGUGGUCCUCCAGACUGAGGAUAUUACAACUGUGAAAAUAUGGAAAGCUACUGUAGAGCUUCCUAGAGGAGUUCCUGUUCAGUAUCGRUAUUUUAAAGGAUACUUUCUAGAACCUAAGGUAUUUGCACAACUUGGAGGGGAAAAAGCUACCCAAGAGACAGAGACAGAUGUGUUUUUCCAGACUAUCGAUGGUCCCUGCGAAGUCAUAGUUCACACGUGGGAGACUCAUCUACAACCACGAUCAAUUACCCCUUUAGAAAAUGAAAUUGCUGUCGACGAUGGAUGCUUUGGAAUCUGUAAUGGUAUUGAAACUGUGGAUGCUGGGUGGCUGACGUGUCAGACAGAAAUUAGGCUACGUUUGCAUUAUUCUGAGAAACCCCCUGUACUGAUAUCUAAGAAGAAAUUUAAAACAUCACGGUUUAGAGUAAAACUGACCCUAGAAGGCCUAGAGAAGGAUGAUGAAGAAGAGACCCAAGAGAAGACAUCCCCUACUGUCCCUCAGAAAAUGGCAAACACAGUGGAGUUCUCCUUAAUCAGUGACAACGACUACAAAUGUCGGCAYUCUCAGCCUGACUCUGGCUAUGCUCUGCAGCCAGACAGAUGGAUAGAAUACACAAUACAAACCAUGGAGCCUGAUAACUUGGAAUUAAUAUUUGAUUUUUUUGAGGAAAAUUUAGGUGAGAAGGUAGUACAAGAUGAUGUGCUCCCAGGUCAUGUAGGCUCUGCCUGYCUCCUGUCAUCCACAAUUGCAGAACUCGGAAAGAGUGCUGGAAUUCUUACACUUGCUAUUAUGAGCAGAAAUCCAAGGAAGACAAUUGGAAAAGUUAGAGUGGACUACAUAAUCAUUAAACCCAUCCAGGGAUACAAUUGUGAUAUGAAGGCUUCGUAUGCAAAAUACUGGAAACCAAGAACAACUCUAGAUGUGGGACACAGGGGAGCAGGAAAUUCUACAACAACAGCUAAACUUGCUAAAGUUCAAGAGAACACCAUUGCAUCCCUGAGGAGUGCUGCAAGUCAUGGAGCAGCAUAUGUGGAAUUUGAUGUACACCUUUCCAAGGAUCAUGUGCCUAUAGUAUACCACGAUCUCACGUGUUGCAUGGCCAUGAAAAAGAAACUGGAUACAGAGCCUGUGGAACUGUUUGAGAUUGCAGUCAAAGAGCUCACAUUUGAUCAGCUGCAGUUACUGAAGCUGGCUCACGUGACGGCCCUGAAAGUUAAAGAUCACAAUGCAUCUUUUACRGACGAAGAGAACUCUGCUUUUGAGACCCAGCCAUUUCCUUCUCUGCAAAGAGUCCUGGAGUGUAUUUCUAAAGAUGUUGGGUUCAACAUAGAAAUAAAAUGGAUCUCCCAACAAAGGGAUGGACAAUGGGAUGGCAACUUGUCAACUUACUUUGAUAUGAACGUUUUUCUAGAUAUUAUUCUGAAAACUGUUUUGAUGAAUGCUGGAGGAAGAAGAAUUGUGUUUUCUUCUUUUCACGCAGAUAUUUGUACAAUGAUCCGGCAUAAGCAGAACAAGUAUCCUGUGUUAUUUCUCACCCAAGGGGAAUCUAAACUCUACCCAGAGCUUAUGGAUCUCAGAUCUCGCACAACUCCAAUUGCCAUUAACUUUGCACAGUUUGAAAACUUGUUGGGAAUUAAUGUACAUUCUGAAGAUCUGCUGAGGAAUCCAGCAUUUGUUCAACGGGCCAUAUCCAAAGGCCUGGUUAUUUUUUCGUGGGGUGAUGAUGCAAAUGACCCAGAUAACAGGAAGAAGUUGAGAGAAUAUGGUGUUCAUGGGCUAAUAUAUGACAGGAUAUAUGACUCAAACCCUGAACAACCAAAUGUAUUCCAGGUGGAGCAGCUGGAACGUCUCAAGAAAGAACUGCCAGAGUUGAAGAGCUGUGUGUGUCCCUCAGUUAGCCACUUCAAACCCUUAGCUGCAUGUAAAUGCCAUCAUAAKUACCUGGAAGAGAAAGCUGUAGAUAACUUGAAGAGUGUUCAGAUGCAAAAGGACUAAUUUUAGGCAGAAUGCUGUUUUGUAUCUAUAGAAUUUUCACCAUUGGAAUAGUUCUGUCUAUGCUUUCAGGUUGGUUUGUUUUUAAUUUUAAGUCCUCAAAUAGCAAUAAUUGUGUUCCUCCUUUCUAACAGUACUUAUUAAAAUUUCAAACAAUGGUAAAAUAUUCAGCCAGUUAUAGUUAUUGUUCCAAUUUACAUAUACAGUUUUAACCUUUUUCUCAAAUCAUGUCAAAUCUUGGAARAGAAAAUUAUUGCUAGUGCUUUUAAAAAACCCAAAAAUUAAUUAAGCAGUCUCGGCAGUUAAAGCUCAGAAACUAAAUUGUAGAGAAAUUACAAUAAUCUGAUAUACUGAAUAUGCUGAAAAUUCRUUUUUACUUUGAUUUUACUUAGAGACUGACAAGCUGUAGCAUUUAUCUGGCAGCAGAAAAUUAAGAGAGUGAUUUUAAGAUAGCUAUAAAUAGGUGUGGCCUAUCAMAAGAUCUGAAUUGGUACCUCAUGUAUAUGUAUUUGCACUGGUAGAUCCACCUGUACAGAGCUUUGUGCCAUUUUAAAGUAUUUAUUUAUUUUUUUAGUAAGCUGCAGCUCAUUUUCCCCCACAUCAUUGGACAUUGAGGCUGCUGCCUUUGUUUCCUCUCAGUUCAGUGGUACAGUGCCCGUGUACAGCAAUCAAGGGGGAACCACGAGUACAAUUUAUCAUUAAUCACACACAGGCCUGCUMAACUUUAAAAACAUUGCUAAUAAUCUUAACAGAAUUACAGAAACAUCUUCAGUGGUUGAGAAUCUCUUUUGCACAAUAACCUUAAUGAACAGAGUGUGUACCCUGCACAAACUCUACAAAAUGCAUGCUUUAUCUAUUAAGCAUGAAAUUUAGGUGUUUGCUGAGGUCCUUGCAUCUUUAUGGUGCUAGUUAUGUGUGAAGGGUGCAAGGACCCACUCAACAAGUUCAUCUUCUUUGCCUGAGAAACCACGAGCCUGUUACUCACAAACAUUUGGAGAAGAGGCUGUACCGUGUGUGGUUUGUCUUUCUUACAUAAUGCAAGCUACUGGCUUUUGUAUUUUGCAAGAUUUUUGGCUUUUGCCAUGGAGCAAGAAUCACAAAUGUACUGAAUUCAGAUAAUCAGUGUUCUGUUGGCUGGUAUCUAUCCUCUGUAAUUUAUUACCAAGUCAUAGUUUUAGAGUUCUUAAUAGAUAAGUAUGCAUGUCCUUCCUCCUCCUGAUGUUGCAGGCCAUGCCAACACAACAGCUGUAACUUUCUACUGAAGUGUUAAUGUAUAAUAAGAAUGGAAAAUAUUUAUUUUUUUUCUCUUGUAAAUUGACAAUGAAAACAAUAGUAUGUACUAUAUUCUUUAUAUACAGUCAUUGCUACAUAUAGAACUGAUUGUACAAAGAGUAAAGCCAUUGCAAAUAAGUGCUUGAGCCUGCACUGCUGAGCAGUUUGGAACAGCUUGUUUUGACUUGUGCAUUUUAGUAUUUAAAGUUUGUUUGUCCCGCACAAACAUCACAGUAGUGAUUAGGUAUCUGGAAGCCUUCUUUUAUUAAAAAAAAAAAGACAAACAAAAAUGCAAAACAACCCUAAACCAAAAUCGGAAGUGUGUGAGCUGUGUUUUUGAGAAGGGGAGGGGGCACUGAACCGGAAUCUUGGCAUCAGAAACCUGUGACURUUUCUUGAUACAUUCCUCAYCUAUGUGAUUAAUUCUUAAUUUYUUUUUCCUCAUUUGUAUACCCUGUGGGAUUCUCUUGACAGGUCUUGAGGGCUUUGCCAACUGAUGCUCAGCUCCUAGUGGAGUUUGUGUCACUGCUUGAGAAAGAGACAAAACAGAGCUGUUGAGUGUGACACCUGUUCUGUAYGAAGGGCAUUGUGGAAUCUCCCUGGAGAAGUGGGAAGUCAGGUGGAUGCAGCAAAACCCCUCCCUCACAUUUGAAGAAGUCACAAAGGKCAGCAUGGACUCUGCAUUUCAGUGAGAAAAGGCUUCCAGAAGAAAAGAAACAUGGAAUUACCCACUUAAAUGUUUUUGCUUCAAUGGAGGGAAAAUAACAGCGCUCAAGGUGUGGAUUAGAGGCACCCAUCCCACCCCUUCACUGCCCCAGCAGCACCAGGGCUCUGUGCUUGCUCUGACACAAAAUUCUGCCCCUCCCUUCAUCUGCUGAUUAAAAGAAUUUGCCCAGUUUUUCUGAUGUCGCAGCCCCCUGCACUCAUCUGCCCCACCGCUUCCUCCAAGGCACAGUUUUUACAYUGUCUUCCUCCCUUGCUCUUCCUUG